ACGGCCAUACCAGGUUGAAAACACCGGUUCUCUGAUCACCGAAGUUAAGCAACGUCGGGACCGGUCAGUACUUGGGAGGGUGACCACCUGGGAACACCGGGGGCUGUAGACU